GGUGGUGCAUGGUUGUCGUCAGCUCGUGUCGUGAGAUGUUGGGUUAAGUCCCGCAACGAGCGCAACCCUUAUUACUAGUUGCCAUCAUUAAGUUGGGCACUCUAGUGAGACUGCCGGUGAUAAACCGGAGGAAGGUGGGGAUGACGUCAAAUCAUCAUGCCCCUUAUGACCUGGGCUACACACGUGCUACAAUGGAUGGUACAACGAGUCGCCAACCCGCGAGGGUGCGCUAAUCUCUUAAAACCAUUCUCAGUUCGGAUUGCAGGCUGCAACUCGCCUGCAUGAAGUCGGAAUCGCUGGUAAUCGCGGAUCAGCACGCCGCAGUGAAUACGUUCCCGGGUCUUGUACACAC
rnacentral:rRNA from 1 species